GACGUAGGGCGCGAGCGUUGUCCGGAUUUAUUGGGCGUAAAGAGCUCGUAGGCGGCUUGUCGCGUCGACUGUGAAAUCCCGCGGCUCAACUGCGGGUCUGCAGUCGAUACGGGCAGGCUAGAGUUCGGUAGGGGAGACUGGAAUUCCUGGUGUAGCGGUGAAAUGACGCAGAUAUCAGGAGGAACACCGGUGGCGAAGGCGGGUCUCUGGGCCGAUACUGACGCUGAGGAGCGAAAGCGUGGGGAGCGAACAGG
rnacentral:rRNA from 1 species